UUACUUACCUGGCGUGGGGGUUACCGUGAUCAAGAAGGGUUCCCCCAGGGCGAGGCCUUGUCAUUGCACUGCGACUUGGUUGACCCCUGCGAAUGCCCCAAAUGUGGGCAUCUCGGGCGCACAAUUUUUGGUACUAAUAUCCUCGUCUGUGUGUGUAACUU